rnacentral:ribozyme from 1 species
AACGAAUAAAGCUUGAUGCUGUGAUGAUAAGUUCCCUUUCUGUUCUUUUUUCGAUUCUCCAUAUCUUUUUCUUCUUUUUCUUCUUCUUCUUCUUCUUCCUC